GUUGGGAGAGCUGCAGGCGGAGCUGAACACAGGAAAGCCGCUAGAAGCCAGAGGCUGAGCGGAGAGGAGGCGGAGCCAACGAGAGGAAACUACGGGCCUAGUCGCCACCGGAAGGGAAGAAGUCAGGGACAGAAUGGGCCUACACUAGUUCUGUUGUGACGCUCAGAACCAGGGGCGGGUGUCUAGGUGGUGACAUUCCGGGCACUGAGAACAUAGGAGGAGGUGCGCUGUCUCCUGCAAAGACUGCAACGAGUCCUCCGUACUGCUGGGACCAGCGUAGGCAGACCGAAGAGUUGGAGCCAGAGACAGCGAGUUAACCAACCGUGCGCAGGCAGGACGCGGAGCAUCUUGGAACUCGACUUGAACAUGAAGAGUGCUGGCGUCUCCAUGACUACCUAGUGGGCACUUUAGGCCCCUAUGUGAUCAACGUGACCAAGGCUGCCACAGCCUGCAGUCACCAGCGAUGCCAUGGCCACGGUCGCUGUUCCUGGAAAGACCCAGGACAAAUGGAAGCCUUUCUACAUCUGCAGCCAGAUGACAAUCUUGGAGCUUGGAAGUCCUUCAGAUGCCGUUGUUACUUGGGCUGGUCUGGCCCUACCUGCCUGGAGCCUAAACCCUGAGCCCAAGAAAACAACAUGGAUUCAGGAGUUCCUGUCUUUGCUUCUUGACCCUGUUGCUACUUUCCUAGUCCUAGAGGAAUUCCCAUUUAUGCUUUGUUUAGCUUAUAGAACUUCCCCAAGUACAUAUCCCACUUCCAUCAACACACCUUCCGUAGGAAUUCCUGAGGAAUAGAUAGGGCCUAAUAAAAAUAUAAAACCAGGGCUGGAGAGAUGGCUCAGUGGUUAAGAGCACUGACUGCUCUUCCAGAGGUCCUGAGUUCAAUUCUCAGCAACCACAUGGUGGCUCACAACCACCUAUAAUGAC
rnacentral:lncRNA from 1 species